UAAAAAAUAAAGGUCUUUUUGACCUAUAAAGAGCGUUAUUAAAGUUUGCUGAACAAAAUACAAGAGAUGCGUAUCUAUCUCGAUGAUAAUGAUAAUAAUGGUGAUGAUAAUGAUAAUCAUAAUAAUAUCUGAGUUGUACUGCAUCAAAUCCAAUCUGAAUGUAAUGACAAAUAUGAUGAUAAUAAUUGUGAUAAUAAUAACACAUCAAUGGAGUAUGCAUGUAUACUUUUCAGAACUUGAUGGAACGUCGAUGCUUGAAUGUUCAAAUGUAACUUGCAAGGAAGGUAGAUGGUUUCAUAUGGAUUGUGUCAUGGUGUCAGACGGGGAAGAAGAGACCGACUGGUUCUGCAGUAAAGAAUGCACAGAAUCUGGUAAUGGCCAAUUCUGUAUAUGCAGGAGUAAAGAUGGGGGCAUUUUAAAGUGGACUUGUUCGAACAGUUCCUGUGAGAAGGGGAAGUCCUUCCAUCACUCCUGCGUGAGAUCGACAACAAUCUCUCACGGUAAAUCUUAAAACAAAGGGCCUAUUGGUCCAAGACUCCAACUGCAAGUAAUGAAACAGGGAUUUAAUCCCGUGGGGAAAUAUCCCCGCUCCACCUUUCGGUGAGGUGUGAUGGCAUGCCAUCCCCACCAAGACAGAAACAAUAUAUUUUAUCAAGGAGCUCUAUUUUGAAGCUCCUUGACUUUAUUAUCACAUCUUGUCAAAACGUAACAUUUUGCUCCACACUGCGCUCAUAUAAGAAUUGUCCAUCGGACAAUGUUCCCUACACAAAUGUAUAGCUUUAUUUUAAUAUCCUUUGCGUCAUGAGAGUAUCAUCACCUAUAUGAUUAUCCUUUUUAGACAAAGACUGGUUUUGCUCGCCAGCUUGCGGUGAACAAGAUGAUGAGUUGCUCUACUACCUGCAGCAUUGUACAUUUUCCAGCUUAUUCAAUGAGUGCUUGAGGGAUGCUGAACGUGAAGGUGAUGGUGAAGCAUCGCGCCGUUAUUGGAAAUUGUACAUGCCUGACCUAUUUUGUAAGGGACACAGCAAGUAUGUUGCAAUCGCACAUCAGUAUCUUGCAGGUAAGAGUGUCCAAUGCACGAAUGUGAAAAAAAUAAUAACUUACCCUCAUUCAACGGGCUAGUCGUAUAAACUUUGCAGUGUAAUAUAAAAAAGACACCAUCACUAGAUUAUUUUGUUUUGAGCGGAAUUGAGAUUGUGGCCCCGAAAUAGAACACUUUCAAUCUUCAGUCAUUUAUAGCCAAAGACCACAAAAAACCCAUAAAUUUAGUUAUCCUGACACAGGUAUAUAGAAUUGGUCAACUGGUCAAUCAUAUUAAUUCUGACAACAGAAAACGACUUGUAUGAUAUAGAAAAAUGGUUUUAACAGUAUGGGACCUGCUAUUGACUAAAAUGUUAUUACCACUGUUAAAACAUCUUAUGAUUAUAUACAUUACACUAUAAAACAUCAGGCACUGCAGGGUUUUAUCCACCGCGCAUCCAACAAGAAGCAGUGUACAACCGCACUGUGAAUCUAAGCGGCGGAGCUGGGAAAAACAAGGCGAUGGAUUUCCAGAUGGAAACAUUCAACCACCACCUGAAAGGCAAGUUCAUCAUUAAGUUCAAGCCCACUAAA